rnacentral:lncRNA from 14 species
CCGACAUUCUCUACUCUGUCCACAUACGGAAAACAUCUACGCAUUGCUUUCGGUAUCCCAAGCUAUGAAGGCAGAGGAUGAUAAGACUCCCCAGGGUCCCGAUGAAGCCUGAUGUCCUGGAAGCAUUCAUUCAUGAGAUUCUGAAUCGCAUCUGUGAGGACAACGUGCUCCAGUGAGUACUGAGCUAUGAUGAGAG